CAUUGUCCUCCUCAGCUUCUUGGUUCUCAUCCUCUUCUUCCAUUUCCUCUUCUUCUGCCACUUCCUCCUCUUCCUCCUCAUCUUCGACAUCUUGAUUUGUACGAGCUCUUUUGCCUCUAGUUCUUGAAGCUACAGAUUUUUGUUUCCCCUUUGAAUUGAUGUCAAUUUCAGCUUCAUCUUCAGAUGACUCAUCAUCUUGUAGUAGCUCUUCAUCCAACAUCCACUCAUUUGGUGGCUCAUCUUCAAUGUAUUUUGCAAGCAGUGGGUCCCUUUCCCUCUCAG
rnacentral:rRNA from 1 species